UACGUAGGAGGCGAGCGUUGUCCGGAGUUACUGGGCGUAAAGGGUGCGCAGGCGGCGGUUCGCGUGGCGCGUUGAAAUCUCCUGGCUUACCUGGGAGGAUGGUCGCCAGACGGGAUCGCUUGAGGGUCGGAGAGGGGCGUGGAAUUCCGGGUGGAGCGGUGAAAUGCGUAGAGAUCCGGAGGAACACCAGUGGCGAAGGCGACUUCUUGGCCUGUUCUUGACGCUGAGGCGCGAAAGCUGGGGGAGCAAACGGG
rnacentral:rRNA from 1 species